rnacentral:rRNA from 1 species
UACGAAGGUCCCGAGCGUUAUCCGGAUUUAUUGGGUUUAAAGGGUGCGUAGGCGGAUUAUUAAGUCAGUGGUGAAAGCCCCAAGCCUAACUUGGGAACUGCCAUUGAUACUGAUGAUCUUGAGUACAUUUGAGGUGGGCGGAAUGUGUCAUGUAGCGGUGAAAUGCUUAGAUAUGACACAGAACACCGAUUGCGAAGGCAGCUCACUAAACUGUAACUGACGCUGAGGCACGAAAGCGUGGGGAGCAAACAGG